CUCCACCCACUUCUCCCCCUUUAACAGCAUCUCCAAAUCAUUCUGGUUCAACCUCCAAAAACCUCCCAGGGGUUUCUUCUCCACUCCCACUACCUCCUCCCCAGUAGGGGUCACUUUCAUCUCUCACCUCCUGCUGGUCUCCCCACUUCCAGUCCAUUCCCCAACUGAGCAGCCAGACCUAUCUCUCUUUGGGAAAAAUCUGUCAUCCUCUUGCUUAAAGUUCUUCUGUGGCUUCCUGUUGCUCGUAGGAUACGGGUUUCCCCACUAGCUGAAGUCAGAACUUUCCCAUGAAGCCUUUCGCAAGUCAGAAUGGUGUAAAGCUGUGAGUACCCCUGCUUUCGGGAAGUUUGCAUCAUGUCACCUUGCCUUUAUGAAAGACCUACAUUAGUACCUAUUUUUACUAACUGAAAGAAAUCUGGAGAAGAUUUUUGCUUCUAGGAAGAAAGCCAUUACCAUACGCGUGUAGGUCUGUCUACCAAAUUCCUUUAUUUGGCUGGCCUCUCUAGUCCCAUAGAUGGCAUAAACCCUCUUGCCUUCUUGCUUUGCUGCCUACUACCACAGAGCCUUGUUCCGUGCUGCCCCCUUCGCCUCCCUCUGGUGGGGCUGCUGAGUCAGGGCCAGUGCAGGAAAUCUUGACACCAGGGAGGGGUAUGUGAGUAAGCACCUUCUCUUCUAAUUCCUCACCUAUGUAGUGUUUACGUAAAUCAAGACCUGCAGAGGACGCAGUGCUAGAAACAGGCUUCUCCUGGGACCAAGCUUACUUUCAUGGCAGAGCUGACCCAACCCCACUGAUCUCCAGCGAAUUACAAGAAUAUGCAGGGAAGAAAACUGUCAGACUGAGUGACCCGCCACCUCACAGGCUGAGAGUGCAGGAGUGGGGGCAGAGGCAGGGGCUUCCUCAGUAUCCAGCAUUGCCCAGGUGAUGGUCGUCCUCAUUCAGGCCUCCUCGCUCCUGGAGCCUCAUGCUGCCCCUACUGCUUUCUGGGUGUUGCUCUGGUUCUGCUGCCACGAUGACGGACAGAGCCAAAUUCCCAAGACGCCACAGGCUCUCUGGUCAGAAGACAGUCUGGCCACCAUGGACACACAUCCUCUAAUCACCAAGCUGAGGCUACCCUUCCGGAAGUGGUCAACAGGUCGCACAUUUUCCUUCUUCAAAAGGCAGCCCCCGCUGGCCUUGCUAGGAGAGUGCAGGACUUGCUAGCGCCUCUGGGUCGUGCGCUUGCAACGGCCUUCUCCCUCACCUCUGCCUGUCUUCCACAUCCUUGUCAGCCUUCCUCUUCAUCUUGGGUCCCUUGCAGCAAGACGCUGCCUGAUGUCAGGCAGUAUGGACGAUCCAGUCCCCAGAGUCCCCAGAGCAAACAAAGUCACCAGUGGGGUCUGGCAGGCUCUAAGUGUCUGACGGGGCUGCUUCCUGGGACCAGAUAUUCUGGUUAUUUGGCUGUAAAGCCCACAGGGCUUGGGACUCUUGUCCUGAGAUUGGUUUGCAUGCUGUCCCAUGUACUUGAGGUAGUGCCAUCAGCUGCGGGGAGGCUGGAGGGGCAGGGGCUACAGGAGUUCAACUGUGGAAGAUCCUACGGGGAGUUCCUGGGAUUGCGAUGGCACCUUCUGAACUGUGAUAUUCAGUCGCCUAGAGAGGGCGGCAUAUCAUGGAGAACUCUGACAAAUCCAAACCUUCGGUAACUUACUCUCUUUAAAAUCAGGAGCAUGGACGAGCCUCUCCUAUUGCUCAGGUUCAGGUUUGCUGGAACCUUUCCCUCCUCCUCCCCCUCCUCCUCCUCCUUGCCUUUGUCCAUAUCCUCCUCACAGCGGUCUGCAGUGGCUGGCCCUGCCAAAGCUGGCAAAUGAACUCAGUGAGGCCAUGACCAGCAUAUUCUGGCCCCUAGGGCCACACUUGUGCACAGCCAAGGCUCAACCAACAUUCCUUGAAGAGCAAGUGGACUCGGAGUUUAGCAGACUGCUUCCUUUCCUUCCUUCAUGGAGCAAGGGCAUGCGACAAUGGUGACAAUGUGUCAGAGCAGCCGAAGUUACUGUGUGUCCAGAGCUGUGCUACCAGUCUCAUGUGUUCUAGUCCAUUCCGUCUUAACAAUAGCCCACAAGAUUUCUUCUGCUUUGAGCUCUCCGAUUCUGUUCUCCGUCUGGGACCACUCCAGGUACGAAGCAGUUGCCCUAAAUAACCGAUGCGCUUUCUUGAUCUCUGUUCCGCUCUGUCUGGAGACCUCCCUGAAUCCACGUCCAGAUCACUGGGCAGGGGAAUUCAUAAAUUUGGGGACAACUUGUGAGGACAAUGGGACUGAGUUUGUGGUGGACAAAUGUACUUAGCUUCCUGAUGUCCAGGGCUCUCUGGGACCCCGGGUCAGAGCUAUGCGGAGUUUUUAUCUUUUUGGGCCCCCUCCCUGUGGGUGUUCCAGGCCCUGAAGGGAGAGAACUUUGGAGAAUGACUACCAGCCAUCUGGUAAGGGCUGUCCUGUCUGCUUUUGCACAUGCCGCUCACCUCCUGUUCACCACUGCCAAGUUCACCAAAGUUGGACCGGACUGGCCCUGUCUUCAGUGUGGCUUCGUGGGACAUAAGGCAGCCAUCUGGGGAAGCCGGCAGUGGCAGAGAGAGUAGCCUCCUGGCCCGAGGACGGAACCGUCCUUGAACCUGGCUGAAGGGAAGGAAAGGUAGGGAGGCCAGCAGUUGCACAGUUGCCAUGGCUCCCAGCCGCUAAUUUGUGCUAUGAGGCUGACCCCCCUCCCCGCCUCCCACCCUCAGUCCUGACUGAUUCCAAAUCUGGCUGACGAACAUCGGGCUGCACUUGAGAAGCUUUUUAAAAAAAGUUUCUUUUAACUUAUUAGGGUAAUUUCAAGCAUAAGCAAGUGGAAGAGUAUAUUGAACCCUUAUGUAUCAGUCGUCCAGCGUCAACAAUUACGGAUGGCCCAUCUUGUUUCAUUUAUACCUUACUCAGUUAUACCUUCUACAGAAUAUUUUAAGGCAAAUCCAACAUUUAUUCCAUCCAUAUUUAAGUUUUCAUCUCUAAAAGCUAAUGGCUCUUUUUAAAAGACAACUACCAGACCAUCAUGGCACCUAAAAGAGUCACAAUACUUCCUCAAUAUCAUAAAUUAUCUAUCAUGUUCAAAUUUC